UCUCCGUUGGUGAACCAGCGGAGGGAUCAUUACAGAGUUUUCACAACUCUCAACCCUUGCGAACCGUACCCAUUCUGGUCUCGUUGCUUCCGGCCGGGGGGACGGGGGGGCCCGAAACGCACUCCCCCCCCCGCCCCCCGGGGGCGGCGGUCCCUGCGAACCUUGAUCUGUUAACACUCUCAAAACCGCAUAGCAAACCACCAACAUAAACAAAAAUCUCAACAACUGAUCUCUUGGCACUGCCAUCGAUCAAGAACGCAGCAGAUCGGACGAGCACAC
rnacentral:misc_RNA from 1 species